rnacentral:tRNA from 1 species
GCGCCCAUAGCUCAGUGGAUUAGAGCGUCUGCCUCCGGAGCAGAAGGUCGUGGGUUCGAAUCCCCCUGGGCGCGCCA